GGGUCUUAGUGGCGCACGGGUGAGUAACACGUGGCUGACCUACCUCAAAGUAGGGGAUAACGUUCCGAAAGGAAUGCUAAUACCCUAUAAGCUCCCGGCAUUUAGAAAGUUGGGAGAAAAGUUACGGCGCUUUGAGAGGGGGCUGCGAGCCAUCAGCUAGUUGGUGCGGUAACGGCGUACCAAGGCGACGACGGCUAGGGGGCCUGAGAGGGUGACCCCCCACACUGGAACUGAGAGACGGUCCAG
rnacentral:rRNA from 1 species